rnacentral:rRNA from 1 species
GGACGAACGCUGGCGGUAUGCUUAACACAUGCAAGUCGAACGAAAAGGAAGAGCUUGCUCUUCCUGAAAGUGGCGAACGGGUGAGUAACGCGUGGGUAACCUACCCUUUGGAAAGGAAUAGCCUCGGGAAACUGGGAGUAAUGCCUUAUAAGAUACGCUUGUCGCAUGGCAUUUGUACUAAACGCUCCGGCGCCAUAGGAUGGACCCGCGUCCCAUUAGCUAGUUGGUGAGAUAACAGCUCACCAAGGCCACGAUGGGUAACCGGUCUGAGAGGGCGAACGGUCACACUGGAACUGAGACACGGUCCAGACUCCUACGGGAGGCAGCAGUGGGGAAUAUUGCGCAAUGGGGGCAACCCUGACGCAGCAAUACCGCGUGAGUGAAGAAGGUUUUCGGAUCGUAAAGCUCUGUUAUUGGGGAAGAAAAAAAGACGGUACCCAAGAAGAAAGUUCCGGCUAACUACGUGCCAGCAGCCGCGGUAAUACGUAGGGAACAAGCGUUGUCCGGAUUUACUGGGCGUAAAGGGCACGCAGGCGGUUUUUUAAGUCAGAUGUGAAAGGCCACAGCUCAACUGUGGACAUGCAUUUGAAACUGAAAGACUUGAGUAUUGGAGAGGCAAGUGGAAUUCCUAGUGUAGCGGUGAAAUGCGUAGAUAUUAGGAGGAACACCGGUGGCGAAGGCGGCUUGCUGGACAAAUACUGACGCUGAGGACGAACGCUGGCGGUAUGCUUAACACAUGCAAGUCGAACGAAAAGGAAGAGCUUGCUCUUCCUGAAAGUGGCGAACGGGUGAGUAACGCGUGGGUAACCUACCCUUUGGAAAGGAAUAGCCUCGGGAAACUGGGAGUAAUGCCUUAUAAGAUACGCUUGUCGCAUGGCAUUUGUACUAAACGCUCCGGCGCCAUAGGAUGGACCCGCGUCCCAUUAGCUAGUUGGUGAGAUAACAGCUCACCAAGGCCACGAUGGGUAACCGGUCUGAGAGGGCGAACGGUCACACUGGAACUGAGACACGGUCCAGACUCCUACGGGAGGCAGCAGUGGGGAAUAUUGCGCAAUGGGGGCAACCCUGACGCAGCAAUACCGCGUGAGUGAAGAAGGUUUUCGGAUCGUAAAGCUCUGUUAUUGGGGAAGAAAAAAAGACGGUACCCAAGAAGAAAGUUCCGGCUAACUACGUGCCAGCAGCCGCGGUAAUACGUAGGGAACAAGCGUUGUCCGGAUUUACUGGGCGUAAAGGGCACGCAGGCGGUUUUUUAAGUCAGAUGUGAAAGGCCACAGCUCAACUGUGGACAUGCAUUUGAAACUGAAAGACUUGAGUAUUGGAGAGGCAAGUGGAAUUCCUAGUGUAGCGGUGAAAUGCGUAGAUAUUAGGAGGAACACCGGUGGCGAAGGCGGCUUGCUGGACAAAUACUGACGCUGA